rnacentral:rRNA from 1 species
UACGGGGGGGGCAAGCGUUGUUCGGAAUUACUGGGCGUAAAGCGUGCGUAGACGGUUAUGUAAGUCAGAUGUGAAAGCCCCGGGCUCAACCUGGGAAUUGCAUUUGAGACUGCAUAGCUAGGGUGCGGAAGAGGGAAGCGGAAUUUCCGGUGUAGCCGGUGAAAUGCGUAGAUAUACGGAAGGAACACCAGUGGCGAAAGCGGCUUCCUGGUCCAGCACCGACGUCAGGCACGAAAGCGUGGGGAGCAAACAGG